AUUGAUUUUAUGCUUGCAUAAAUGAUUUUUUGGAUUCGAAGCGAGUGGCGAACUGGUGAGUAACACGUGGGUAACCUGCCCCGAAGCGGGGGAUAACAUUUGGAAACAAGUGCUAAUACCGCAUAAUUAGUUGGAACCGCAUGGUUCCAACUUGAAAGAUGGCUCUGCUAUCACUUUGGGAUGGACCCGCGCCGUAUUAGUUAGUUGGUGAGAUAAAGGCCCACCAAGACGAUGAUACGUAGCCGACCUGAGAGGGUAAUCGGCCACAUUGGGACUGAGACACGGCCCAGACUCCUACGGGAGGCAGCAGUAGGGAAUCUUCCACAAUGGACGAAAGUCUGAUGGAGCAACGCCGCGUGAGUGAUGAAGGUUUUCGGAUCGUAAAACUCUGUUGUUAAAGAAGAACAAGUGUUAGAGUAACUGUUAACACUUUGACGGUAUUUAACCAGAAAGCCACGGCUAACUACGUGCCAGCAGCCGCGGUAAUACGUAGGUGGCAAGCGUUGUCCGGAUUUAUUGGGCGUAAAGCGAGCGCAGGCGGUUUUGUAAGUCUGCUGUGAAAGCCCUCAGCUCAACUGAGGAAGUGCAGUGGAAACUACAAAACUUGAGUACAGAAGAGGAAAGUGGAACUCCAUGUGUAGUGGUGAAAUGCGUAGAUAUAUGGAAGAACACCAGUGGCGAAGGCGGCUUUCUGGUCUGUUACUGACGCUGAGGCUCGAAAGCAUGGGUAGCGAACAGGAUUAGAUACCCUGGUAGUCCAUGCCGUAAACGAUGAAUACUAGGUGUUGGAGGGUUUCCGCCCUUCAGUGCCGCAGCUAGCGCAUUAAGUAUUCCGCCUGGGGAGUACGACCGCAAGGUUGAAACUCAAAGGAAUUGACGGGGGCCCGCACAAGUGGUGGAGCAUGUGGUUUAAUUCGAUGCUACGCGAAGAACCUUACCAGCUCUUGACAUCUUCUGCCAACCCAAGAGAUUGGGCGUUCCCUUCGGGGACAGAAUGACAGGUGGUGCAUGGUUGUCGUCAGCUCGUGUCGUGAGAUGUUGGGUUAAGUCCCGCAACGGGCGCAACCCUUAUUAUUAGUUGCCAGCAUUUAGUUGGGCACUCUAGUGAGACUGCCGGUGAUAAA
rnacentral:rRNA from 1 species